rnacentral:lncRNA from 1 species
GUCAGACUGAGUCCUUCCCACACACUGCACUGACCUCUUCGGCUGCCCCUCGUUCACUUUUAGGUGGAGCCUUACACCUGUGAUCACACCAGGGCCCCGGAUAGUCUGAGAUAUUGUCCACCUCAGGGUCACUGGACCAGCACCCUGGAUUCCACAUUCCUGGUUCCUGGCAUCAGGACAUGGACUCGAGGGGCAUUCAUCUGCAGCCCUGGAGGAAGGCUCGAGGCACAGCCCUUGGUGAGCCGUGGGAGCCUGGGCCCUGGAGCUCCUGAGUGCCAGCUGCAGUUAGCUUCUUCCACUUGCUCAGUGGGACUGGCGGGUGAGGAGGUGGGCUUCUGGGAGGACGGCCUGGGGGCGCCACAUGAGCCUGCACAGGGUCCAGGUUUGCGGUCACCCAACAGUGCUGCCAGUGGAGCUUCGGUUUGGAUCUUGAUGCAAAAGUUUCCUUCAGCGCCACACCAGAGCCAUCGAUGGACCGGGGAAGCCUGUGGGAGUGGGACAGAGGCACGGCUAAGGAGACAAGCCCACACCAGGCGGGUGAGGUGCCCACAUCCAACCCAGCGCUUGACCACACACCGCACUGGACCUCACCUCUGGGGAAGGUCACAUGGCUCAGGGCCUUGGAGGCGAACCCUCUGCUGCCUCCUGGAACGGGUCCUCUGCCUUUGGGGGCUUAGCUUCCCCCUGGUUCAGACAAUGGCUGUUAACAGCCGGCUGUUAACCAGGACAGAUGGAUGGACGGACUGAUGGCUGGGUUCCUGGAGCAACAUUGGUGGGAAGAUUCUUCUUCUGAAACAAACACUCAGGCUCUCAGAAGGUGGAACGCAAUUGGCCCUAGCUUCAUCCUGGCUGUAAGUUGAUUUCUCAUUCUUUAAGAUUUCAUCUAAAGCCCAUAAUUACUUCCCUGAAUAGGCUUUUAUACCCUAAAUGGCCAGGCAUCAUAUCCCCGGUCCUUUAUCUUGAUUAGAAAUGAACCCCAUAUUUUAGUACAUUUGCCGGCCAGCCCCUCACCUGCUGAAUCAGCCGUCCGAACACAGCGCUUGUAGCCAUAAGCCCUUCCGUUCGGGAAACAGUCACCCACGUGGCCGCCAAGCCCAGCCUCAGCCCUGUGUCCAGUUGCAGAACUGAGCAUGCCCCUCCUCCCUGCUGGCCCCACAGCUUCUCUCUGGAGGCAGAAGCCCAGCCGUGGGGUCUGGUUUGGGAAGGUCGGAAGGAUGAGGCAUGCUGACCGCAGGAGUCAAGCCAACAGGAAAGACAUCCCGUUUCCAUGGCACCCCCGGUUUCAGGCGUCCUCACACCCAUUUGUAGAAGGAGCAUGACGUCAGCUGGCCCUUGGGGCCAAUGGGCUUCCUCUGGAGGGGAGCUGGCUUCUUUGGAAGGUCCUGGCAGGACACGGAGACAGGGCUCAGGGGACCCCGCCUGGGCCUCUAAUGCAG